rnacentral:rRNA from 2 species
UUAUCGGAGAGUUUGAUCCUGGCUCAGGACGAACGCUGGCGGCGUGCCUAAUACAUGCAAGUCGAGCG